GUCCACUGAUAAACUCCCUGUUGGGCUGUCAUGUCUGGGCCACUGAAUCUCAGUGAUGGAGAUAAGGGCCUGUAGCCGGAA
rfam:Myotis lucifugus cont2.8615, whole genome shotgun sequence.